AGAUUGAACGCUGGCGGCAUGCCUUACACAUGCAAGUCGAACGGCAGCACGGGAGCAAUCCUGGUGGCGAGUGGCGAACGGGUGAGUAAUAUAUCGGAACGUGCCCAGUCGUGGGGGAUAACGUAGAGAAAUUUACGCUAAUACCGCAUACGAUCCAAGGAUGAAAGCGGGGGACCGUAAGGCCUCGCGCGACUGGAGCGGCUGAUAUCAGAUUAGCUUGUUGGUGAGGUAAAAGCUACACCAAGGCGACGAUCUGUAGCUGGUUUGAGAGGACGACCAGCCACACUGGACUGAGACACGGCCCAGACUCCUACGGGAGGCAGCACGUGGGAAUUUUGGACAAGUAGGGGGAAACCCGUGACUCCAGCCAUCCCGCGUGUGCGA
rnacentral:rRNA from 1 species